rnacentral:rRNA from 1 species
CCUACGGGUGGCAGCAGUGGGGAAUAUUUGACAAUGGGGGCAACCCUGAUCCAGCCAUGCCGCGGGUGUGAAGAAGGCCCUCGGGUUGUAAAGCACUUUCAGUGAGGAAGAACGCCUGGUGGUUAAUACCCAUCAGGAAAGACAUCACUCACAGAAGAAGCACCGGCUAACUCCGUGCCAGCAGCCGCGGUAAUACGGAGGGUGCGAGCGUUAAUCGGAAUUACUGGGCGUAAAGCGCGCGUAGGUGGCUUGAUAAGCCGGUUGUGAAAGCCCCGGGCUCAACCUGGGAACGGCAUCCGGAACUGUCAAGCUAGAGUGCAGGAGAGGAAGGUAGAAUUCCCGGUGUAGCGGUGAAAUGCGUAGAGAUCGGGAGGAAUACCAGUGGCGAAGGCGGCCUUCUGGACUGACACUGACACUGAGGUGCGAAAGCGUGGGUAGCAAACAGGAUUAAAUACCCCAGUAGUC